rnacentral:rRNA from 1 species
UACGUAGGGUGCGAGCGUUGUCCGGAAUUAUUGGGCGUAAAGAGCUUGUAGGCGGUUUGUCGCGUCUGCUGUGAAAAUCCGGGGCUCAACCCCGGACUUGCAGUGGGUACGGGCAGACUAGAGUGUGGUAGGAGAGACUGGAAUUCCUGGUGUAGCGGUGAAAUGCGCAGAUAUCAGGAGGAACACCGGUGGCGAAGGCGGGUCUCGUGGGCCGAUACUGACGCUGAGGAGCGAAAGCGUGGGGAGCGAACAGG